rnacentral:rRNA from 1 species
AGUCAUCCCUGACCCCUUGAGGGUCCUAAAGGGCCGUUGGAGACCACAACGUUGAUAGGUGGGGUGUGUAAGCGUAGCGAUACGUUGAGCUAACCCAUACUAAUUACCCGUGAGGCUUAACCAUACAACACCCAAGAAGUGUUCU